GUAGUUAAUUAGUUAAUAAUUAGUUUUUAGUUAUUAUUUUUAAUUUAAAAAUAAUUAAAUAUCAAUAUUUUCUAGGAAACAUAUACAUCUAUAUAUUGGAUUUAAUUUAAAUUAACAAAUAAAGAAUUUAGAUUAGAACAUAAAUUAUUUGAAUAAUACUUGAAAAGUAAACACAUUUUUUUUUUAAUGAACAAGAACCAGGAAAUCAAAUUUUAUCUUUACAUUUUUUUAUAUUUAAAAAUAAAAACAAAAACACAAAAAUAAGAAGACAAAAGAAAAAAGAAAAAAAGAAUAAACGAAGUAAAACUAAUCAAAGUGCACGUCACAUACCCCAUUUGCCCCACUAACUCACUUAUUGAAGACAAAAUCAAAAAAAGGAAAUAACUACCCCACAUCUGCACCACGUUCGCAUUCCCGCAUUUCCUAUUGCACGAUCAAGCACACAUGUAUGCUGACAACACAUAAGUAAGGGACAUACUUUUACAAUUUCAGGUUACUGCUACUCUCCAACUUUUUCUCAAAUCUAGAAAAGAAGGAUACCAACGGAGGAGAUCAGAGACGUAAAAAGACAGAGAGAACCUAUUGGACUUCAAUUACUUUACUCAUUUCCAGUCUUCUUAGUCAUAUUGGGACGCAACAUUCAAUUAUAAAGGCUGUUAUGCAUAUCAAAUAAUGUGGAGGUUUUGAUCCACUACUUGGACUGCAACAGAGAAAAAGAUUUCUUUUCUUUGAUGAUGAGGGAAACGGAUGGCAGCACCAAGUACCAACGAAGAUAAAUUGUGAGUUCAUUGUUUCUUUGGUUUUAUGUAGAUCUCUUGAUAUAGUUAACCUUUGAUACCAACUCAAGAAUGAGACUUUGUCAUAAAUGCAUUUGGGCUAUUCAGAAAUUUAAACACCUAAUGUUCGGCAUGGUGAAACUUGAAGUUGACAACAUGAUUUGAGAAUGAAUAAUUCCAUUACACUAUUGGUUUUGAUUAAUGCCAAACGGGAACAGAGGGCUCCCUAUCUUAGUUGGAGAAAAAAUGGUUUCUUUUAAAAACAAUGCAUCUAGGACAGAAAAUGAAAGUUAAUGUUGUGGCUAGGCGAAACCGUGAAAGUGAAUAGAUGUCCAAUAGCAUCGGAUUUGUUGCUGCUAUAGAAUGACUUAAUAUGCAAAUCAUUAGUUUAGUUUCUUUUAUUGUCAUUUACGUGAUUUCAAAAGAAAAGAAAUUACUGCCAAAAUUUUCCCAUGGAACUAUGUAUAGGUUUUUUGAUGAGUCCUACAAGUCUGAAGCCUAGAAAUGGGAAAAGAUCGACUACUCCAUCCCCUAAUGGGCUGGUGGCAAGCCUUAGUAAGUAAUUGUGUUAUUUUUGUUUGUGCAAUAAAUUUAAGAUCGUUUGGUCUACUUAAUACUUAUUUGAUUGCUUUCAAACGGUUUUUAAUCUUUUUGUUUCAUGUUUUAGUCGAAUUAUCCCACCUGGUGGGAUUAUAUUGGGCAUGUUGUUGUUGUUUUAUUAUAGUGAUGGAAAAGUCUUCCUUCAGGGGUCUUCUAAAUGAUUUAUUUUAUCACUUAGCGUUAGAGAUUAUCUCCUCUUGAAGGGAAAUUUAAAUCUGAAAGUUUUAUAUAGAAGAUUAAUUGAUUUUUAUUGUGUUUAUGCCCUCAAUAUCAGCACUGCGGAGUGCGUACAAACUGUUUGGUAUAACAUCUAAAAUAAUUUCUCAUUCGAUCGUUGAAUACUUAUUUUUUCAUUGAAAAAGUUUGUUUGUUGAACCAAAAUAAAUUUUAGUUUCAUUCUUUGGUUUACUAUGGACUUGGUACUUUGGGUAAAUUGGUGCUCAAUUUAGUUCAGAGACACUGAUUGACUGAGCUUCGGUAGCACUUUUCUUAAUUUCUAAAUUUAUAGAGAUAGGGCUUCUUCGAUUAUCCUAUAUUUUGUGUGUAAUAUUGUUAGAAGUUCCCUUAAAAAUUAAGAAUUUUAUUGUUGAUGCAAAUGCUAGCAUUCUUAAGGAGCAUCGAUGAUCGAACCAUGUCUCAUUAGAUUUUAUUAGAUAUAACAUAUAUCAAAAUGGACACUGAAAGGAUUGCCUUAUGAGGUGUAGGACAAUUCUCAAGUACAAUUGUAAGGAAGAAGUCUGUCCCGUAAUUGUUUCUACGUAGUUUUUAAAUUGGUUUCUUCAAUAGUUUGUAGAAGCCUGCACUUUAGUAAGUAAAGAGUUUACUUGGUCGUGUUGAUAAUUAUUGUUGCUCCAUGUUACAAUAGAUAUCUACGAUUUGUGAAUUAGUCGUUAAAAUAAUUCUACGGCCAUCUUUCUACUAUAGUAUAAAGAUUUCCUUAUAAAUCUUUAUGCAGGUUUGGAAUAGUCUUAAACAGUAUAAAGGGUGUAUACACAUCUAUCAUCCAUGGAAAAAUUUACUUAUGAUAGAUAGUUAAUUUUCUUUUAUAUUAUCUACUCAUCGCGUAUAAUACUUAGUGAAUAGUGAUAUUAAUACGAGAAGUCAGCGAGCUAAUUGCAACCUGAAAUGAAAACAAGGCGCUGAAGGUAUGUGCACUCACCCAUAUCGUUCUCUGAAAAUAAACGUGCAUAAUUUGUCCAUUUAUCCUAUUUGGCCUUUAACAUCAAAUUUGACAAUGUAUCCUCUCUUAUUUUAUGAAAAAUUUGUAGUAUGUCGUAUGCGUUUAUGAAUUAGUCUUGGUUGGAAGAUUUUCAUUAAGUUUUUCGCAGCACAUUGAUAAUUUAGAAAGCAUGAAGUGAUGCAACAACCUAACAGACAUCAACCUUGGUUGAGAAAGGCCGAUAAUACAAAUAAGUUUUUGCCCAAAUUUAUUCUUAUAAAAUUAUGCAACAUGAGGCUUUGAUGAUUACAUAAAUUCAAUUGUUGGACUGAAGUUUCUUGCACAAAAGUCAAGGCGGAGAAAUCAGACAAGUUCGUGUAAGUUGGUGUGAAGAGAGGGAUCCAAUUAAAACUACAUAGAAUCCUAUUCGAGAUGAUGGAUGGAGUUGAAGUGAAAAUGAUUUGUUGGUUGAUGUUGAUUUUUUGCUGGCUUUGUUGAGUCAAUCUGCAGAACUGUUCAAAUAUUCCUUUCUGGCUAAAUAUAGAUUUCUACAAUGGAUAAAAUAUUAUAGGUUAUGCAUAUCAAAUUUCUCUGGAUAGUUGUCAAGAUGUAACCGAGGAUUCUGAAGGUUCCAUAGAUAUGAUAUAUAUACAAAUACCUCACAAAUGCGAAAUGAAUAUUUGAAAAAUAAACAAGCACAAUGGAGAACCGAAAUAUACAAAGGAGUUUUACCAAAUUGUCAAGAUAUGAUGUAUACAAAUAUAUCACAAAUGUGAAAUGGAUAGUUGAAAAAUAAACAAGCACAAUGGAGGACCGAAAUAUACAAAGGAGUUUUACCAAAUUGUCAAGAUAUGAUGUAUACAAAUAUAUCACAAAUGCGAAAUGGAUAUUUGAAAAAUAAACAAGCACAAUGGAGGACCGAAAUAUAUAAAGGAGUUUUACAAAAUUGUCAAGAUCUAAUUAAGAAAUCUGAAGUUUCCAUAGAUAUUAUGUAUACAAGUAGCUCACAAAUGCGAAGUGAAUAUUUCUAAAAUGAACAAGUAUGACAGAUAACUAAAAUGUAUAUAAGAGUUCUGCCAAAUCAGUUGGGCAAGGAAUGACUAAAUGUAUUACGAAUGUAUAAGAAUUUUUUCGGUAUUAUUCACUAUCUUAGGAGCACUGUACAAAUAAAGCUUAUUUUGUGUUAUGCUAUUCUGUUUGCUUCUAUUUUUCUUUCACUGAAAUACUAUCUUUCAUGAUUGUUACGA